GGACUACUAGGGUAUCUAAUCCUGUUUGAUCCCCACGCUUUCGUGCCUCAGCGUCAAUCGUUGUGUAGCCAGCUGCCUUCGCAAUUGGUGUUCUAGGUCAUAUCUAAGCAUUUCACCGCUACAUGAACUAUUCCGCUAACCUCCACAACAUUCAAGACUCAUAGUAUCCAUGGCAGUUUCCAGGUUAAGCCUGGAGAUUUCACCACGGACUUACAAGUCCGCCUACGCACCCUUUAAACCCAGUGAAUCCGGAUAACGCUUGCACCCUCCGUAUUACCGCGGCUGCUGGCAC
rnacentral:rRNA from 2 species